ACGCUAGCUACAGGCUUAACACAUGCAAGUCGAGGGGCAGCAUGGAAGAAGCUUGCUUCUUCUGAUGGCGACCGGCGCACGGGUGCGUAACGCGUAUCAAACCUGCCUCAUACUCGGGGAUAGCCUUGCGAAAGUAAGAUUAAUACCCGAUGUUGUUAUGUUACCGCACGGUGAUAUAACCAAAGAUUUAUCGGUAUGAGAUGGUGAUGCGUCCGAUUAGGUAGUAGGCGGGGUAACGGCCCACCUAGCCUUCGAUCGGUAGGGGUUCUGAGAGGAAGGUCCCCCACACUGGAACUGAGACACGGUCCAGACUCCUACGGGAGGCAGCAGUGAGGAAUAUUGGUCAAUGGACGGAAGUCUGAACCAGCCAAGUAGCGUGCAGGAUGACGGCCCUCCGGGUUGUAAACUGCUUUUAGUUGGGAAUAAAAAGAGGGACGUGUCCCUCAUUGUAUGUACCUUCAGAAAAAGGACCGGCUAAUUCCGUGCCAGCAGCCGCGGUAAUACGGAAGGUCCAGGCGUUAUCCGGAUUUAUUGGGUUUAAAGGGAGCGUAGGCGGAUUAUUAAGUCAGUGGUGAAAGACGGUGGCUCAACCAUCGUUAGCCAUUGAAACUGGUAGUCUUGAGUGCAGACAGGGAUGCUGGAACUCGUGGUGUAGCGGUGAAAUGCUUAGAUAUCACGAUGAACUCCGAUCGCGAAGGCAGGUGUCCGGGCUGCAACUGACGCUGAGGCUCGAAAGUGUGGGUAUCAAACAGGAUUAGAUACCCUGGUAGUCCACACAGUAAACGAUGUAUACUCGCGGUUUGCGAUACAGUGUAAGCCGCCAAGCGAAAGCAUUAAGUAUACCACCUGGGGAGUACGCCGGCAACGGUGAAACUCAAAGGAAUUGACGGGGGCCCGCACAAGCGGAGGAACAUGUGGUUU
rnacentral:rRNA from 1 species